rnacentral:rRNA from 1 species
CCUACGGGCGGCAGCAGUAGGGAAUCUUCCACAAUGGGCGAAAGCCUGAUGGAGCAACGCCGCGUGGGUGAAGAAGGUCUUCGGAUCGUAAAACCCUGUUGUUAGAGAAGAAAGUGCGUGAGAGUAACUGUUCACGUUUCGACGGUAUCUAACCAGAAAGCCACGGCUAACUACGUGCCAGCAGCCGCGGUAAUACGUAGGUGGCAAGCGUUAUCCGGAUUUAUUGGGCGUAAAGGGAACGCAGGCGGUCUUUUAAGUCUGAGGUGAAAGCCUGCGGCUUAACCGGAGUAGUGCAUGGGAAACUGGGAGACUGGAGUGCAGAAGAGGAGAGUGGAACUCGAGGUGUAGCGGUGAAAUGCGUAGAUAUAUGGAAGAACACCAGUGGCGAAAGCGGCUCUCUGGUCUGUAACUGACGCUGAGGUUCGAAAGCGUGGGUAGCAAACAGGAUUAGAUACCCCUGUAGUC